CUGAUCUUCUGCAACUUCAGGGAGAUAAGAUUUGUUGUCUUUGAUUUGCUCCACUACAAUUUCAGGGAAACAAGAUCUGCGAUCUUCAGCCUACUCCACUACAACUUCAGGGAAAUAAGACUGGUAACUUCAACCUGCCCCACUGCGACUUCAGGGGGAUAAGGCUUACAGCUAUGAUUUAUUCCACUGAAACUUCAGAGAUUCAAGGAGAAGAGAUUUGUAGCCUCGAUCUUCUCUACUAAAACUUCGAGGAAAUAAGAAUUCAGGUAGAAGGGAUUUGUAGCCUCGACCUCCUACACUGGAACUUCGGUGAUUUAGGGAGAAGAGAUUUGUAGCUUCGAUCUUCUCUACUGAAACUUCAAGGAUUUAGAAUUCAGGUAGAAGGGAUUUGUAGCCUCGACCUACUACACUGAAACUUCGGAGACUCAGGGAGAAGAGAUUUGUAGUUUCGAUCUUCUCUACUGAAACUUUAAGGAUUUAGAAUUCAAGUAAAAGGGAUUUGUAGCCUCGACCUAUUACACUGGAACUUCGACGAUUCAAAGAGAAGAGAUUUGUAGCUUCGAUCUUCUCUACUGAAACUUCAAGGAUUUAGAAUUCAGGUAGAAGGGAUUUGUAGCCUUGACCUACUACACUAAAACUUCAGAGAUUCAGGGAGAAGAGAUUUGUAGUUUCGAUCUUCUCUACUGAAACUUCAAGGAUUUAGAAUUCAAGUAGAAGGGAUUUGUAGCAUCGACCUACUACACUGAAACUUCGGAGAUUCAGGGAGAAGAGAUUUGUAGUUUCGAUCUUCUUUACUGAAACUUCAAGGAUUUAGAAUUCAAGUAGAAGGGAUUUGUAGCCUCGACCUACUACACUGAAACUUCGGCGAUUCAGGGAGAAGAAAUUUGUAGUUUCGAUCUUCACUACUGAAACUUCAAGGAUUUAGAAUUCAAGUAGAAGGGAUUUGUAGCCUCGACCUACUACACUGAAACUUCGGAAGUAUAAAUUAUGGAUUUCAACCCGCUCCACUACCGCUUAGGGAGGUAGGAUCUACAAUUUCUAACAUGUUACCCUACUGCUUAAGGGGUUAAGGCUCGUCGUUUUUGAUCUGUACCACUGCAACUUCAGGGAGAAAAUCUUCUUUGGUGAUUUCAAUUCGUCCCACUGCAUCUUCAGAAGCGUAAGAUUUUGAUUUCUUUGGUCCGUUACACCGCUCUUUGGAGAACAUAACCUGUUGAAUCUAUUUAUGGGCCUAUGCUUUUGCCAAAUAAAUAAGAUGCUAUGAUCGAAUAAAUGUUCCUAACUAUAUGUGAUGUUUAUGUCAAACAAUUAGAAUGCUACGAUCGAAAUGAAUCAAGUGCUCCUAACUAAAUGUGUCAUGAAUGAUAUAUGAAUGCAAAAAUGAAAAUGAUCAUUUUCAAAAAAAAAAAAAACUUAAAGUGUCAUUGCUCAUUGUUCACCAGAGCCGUACUACGCUGCCGUCUUAUUUAGCUGGUAUUCUUUAUAGAAAACUCAAAGAAACAAUCUCAAUCUGCUCGGCAAGCCUGCCCCACUUAAACUUUAUGGAGUUUUUUGCUUAUCUAGACCACUGCAACUCAGGGUAUAGGAUUUGUUUCAUCUUCAAUCAAUU
rnacentral:lncRNA from 1 species